AACGAACGCUGGCGGCAGGCUUAACACAUGCAAGUCGAACGCCCCGCAAGGGGAGUGGCAGACGGGUGAGUAACGCGUGGGAACAUACCCUUUCCUGCGGAAUAGCUCUGGGAAACUGGAAUUAAUACCGCAUACGCCCUAAGGGGGAAAGAUUUAUCGGGGAAGGAUUGGCCCGCGUUGGAUUAGCUAGUUGGUGGGGUAAAGGCCUACCAAGGCGACGAUCCAUAGCUGGUCUGAGAGUAUGAUCAGCCACAUUGGGACUGAGACACGGCCCAAACUCCUACGGGAGGCAGCAGUGGGGAAUAUUGGACAAUGGGCGCAAGCCUGAUCCAGCCAUGCCGCGUGAGUGAUGAAGGCCUUAGGGUUGUAAAGCUCUUUCACCGAUGAAGAUAAUGACGGUAGUCGGAGAAGAAGCCCCGGCUAACUUCGUGCCAGCAGCCGCCGUAACAC
rnacentral:rRNA from 1 species